GAUUGCUGAUGAUGUGGAUAGUCUCAAAGAAGAUCUUUAAACCUCUCCCAAGCAUUAUAUAAGUUCUCAUCUAUCCUCUAUUUGAAGCUCACAAUCUCACUUCGCAUAGU
rfam:Capsicum annuum cultivar Zunla-1 chromosome 12, whole genome shotgun sequence